ACGGCUCAGUAACACGUGGAUAACCUGCCCUUGGGACCGGCAUAACCCCGGGAAACUGGGGAUAAUUCCGGAUAACGCAUAUGUGCUGGAAUGCUUUAUGCGUAAAAUGGAUUCGUCUGCCCAAGGAUGGGUCUGCGGCCUAUCAGGUAGUAGUGGGUGUAAUGUACCUACUAGCCGACAACGGGUACGGAUUGUGAGAGCAAGAGCCCGGAGAUGGAUUCUGAGACAUGAAUCCAGGCCCUACGGGGCGCAGCAGGCGCGAAAACUUUACAAUGCGGGAAACCGUGAUAGGGGGACACCGAGUGUCAGCAUCAUAUGCUGGCUGUCCGGGUGUGUAAAAUACACCCGUUAGCAAGGGCCGGGCAAGACCGGUGCCAGCCGCCGCGGUAACACCGGCGGCCCGAGUGGUGAUCGUGAUUAUUGGGUCUAAAGGGUCCGUAGCCGGUUUGGUCAGUCCUCCGGGAAAUCUGAUAGCUCAACUAUUAGGCUAUCGGGGGAUACUACCAGACUUGGAACCGGGAGAGGUAAGAGGUACUACAGGGGUAGGAGUGAAAUCUUGUAAUCCCUGUGGGACCACCUGUGGCGAAGGCGUCUUACCAGAACGGGUUCGACGGUGAGGGACGAAAGCUGGGGGCACGAACCGGAUUAGAUACCCGGGUAGUCCCAGCCGUAAACGAUGCUCGCUAGGUGUCAGGCAUGGCGCGACCGUGUCUGGUGCCGCAGGGAAGCCGUGAAGCGAGCCACCUGGGAAGUACGGCCGCAAGGCUGAAACUUAAAGGAAUUGGCGGGGGAGCAC
rnacentral:rRNA from 1 species